rnacentral:rRNA from 1 species
GAUGAAUGCUGGCGGCGUGCUUAACACAUGCAAGUCGAGCGGUAAGGCCCUUUUAGGGUACACGAGCGGCGGACGGCUGAGUAACGCGUGGGAACAUGCCCUAAGUGAGGAAUAAGCUCCAGAAAUGGAGUCUAAUGCCGCAUAUGAUCUUCGGAUUAAAGGAUUUAUCCGCUUUAGGAGUGGCCUGCGUACGAUUAGCUUGUUGGUGAGGUAAUGGCUUACCAAGGCGACGAUCGUUAGCUGGUCUGAGAGGAUGACCAGCCAGACUGGAACUGAGACACGGUCCAGACUCCUACGGGAGGCAGCAGUGAGGAAUCUUCCACAAUGGGCGAAAGCCUGAUGGAGCAACGCCGCGUGCAGGAUGAAGGCCCUCGGGUCGUAAACUGCUUUUAUGAGUGAAGAAUAUGACGGUAACUCAUGAAUAAGCACCGGCUAACUACGUGCCAGCCGCCGCCGUA